CUGCAUGCUGCCUUGCUUCCUGCCAUGAGGAUAACGGACUAAACCUCUGAACUUUCUAGGGAUCUGUCCCAGGAGCUGGCCCAUGCUAAGAAGUGAGUCACAAACCCAGGAUUCUGACACUAGGAAGGAGAUUCUUCCUUCACUUUCUUCUAUGGAGUCCCCUGACCCAUGGAGCGGAUGAUAUGCAUGUCUCAUUUAAGGCUUGGAUUAACAAUCACAUGUUCUCAACACUUUGGCCAGCCCUAACCUGAAGAAGAAGAAGAAGAAGAAGAAGAAGAAGAAGAAGAAGAAGGAGAA